rnacentral:tRNA from 2 species
GCCUGGUUAGCUCGGUUGGUAGAGCACUCCACUAGAAAUGGAGAGGUCCGGGUUCGAUACGCGGACCAGGCG